rnacentral:rRNA from 1 species
UGCGCAGGCGGCAUAGUAAGUCAGUGGUGAAAGCCCGGAGCUCAACUCCGGAACUGCCAUUGAUACUGCUAAGCUUGAGUACGGUUGAAGUGGGCGGAAUGUGACAUGUAGCGGUGAAAUGCUUAGAUAUGUCACAGAACACCAAUUGCGAAGGCAGCUCACUAAACCGUUACUGACGCUGAGGCACGAAAGCGUGGGUAGCGAACAGGAUUAGAUACCCUGGUAGUCC